CCACCACCAAAGCAUUUUCUGGUGUUGAGGACAACUUUGAAGUGGCAUUCAACACGCGUUGGCGGAGCGCUUUUUGCGACGCCCAACACACAAAACAAGCAGUGAAUGUGCUUUGGGGUGGGGUGACUGCGUACCUUUUGUAUAAUGGGUCAGCGACUUAUAUUCUGUAGCAAGGUUAACCGAAUAGGGGAGCCGUAGGGAAACCGAGUCUUAACUGGGCGAAUAAGUUGCAGGGUAUAGACCCGAAACCCGGUGAUCUAGCCAUGGGCAGGUUGAAGGUUGGGUAACACUAACUGGAGGACCGAACCGACUAAUGUUGAAAAAUUAGCGGAUGACUUGUGGCUGGGGGUGAAAGGCCAAUCAAACCGGGAGAUAGCUGGUUCUCCCCGAAAGCUAUUUAGGUAGCGCCUCGUGAACUCAUCUUCGGGGGUAGAGCACUGUUUCGACUAGGGGGUCAUCCCGACUUACCAACUCGAUGCAAACUACGAAUACCGAAGAAUGUUAUCACGGGAGACACACGGCGGGUGCUAACGUUCGUCGUGAAGAGGGAAACAACCCAGACCGCCAGCUAAGGUCCCAAAGUCAUAGUUAAGUGGGAAACGAAGUGGGAAGGCUCAGACAGCCAGGAUGUUGGCUUAGAAGCAGCCAUCAUUUAAAGAAAGCGUAAUAGCUCACUGGUCGAGUCGGCCUGCGCGGAAGAUGUAACGGGGCUAAACUAUGCACCGAAGCUGCGGCAGCGAUAUGUAAAUAUUGUUGGGUAGGGGAGCGUUCUGUAAGCCUGUGAAGGUGUGCUGUGAGGCAUGCUGGAGGUAUCAGAAGUGCGAAUGCUGACAUAAGUAACGAUAAUGCGGGUGAAAAACCCGCACGCCGGAAGACCAAGGGUUCCUGUCCAACGUUAAUCGGGGCAGGGUGAGUCGACCCCUAAGGCGAGGCAGAAAUGCGUAGUCGAUGGGAAACGGGUUAAUAUUCCCGUACUGGUGAUAAUUGCGAUGGGGGGACGGAGAAGGCUAGGCUAUCCGGGCGACGGUUGUCCCGGUUUAAGGAUGUAGGCAGGUGAAUUAGGCAAAUCCGGUUCACUAUAUGCUGAGGUCCGAUGACGAGUCACUACGGUGAUGAAGUAGCUCAUGCCCCGCUUCCAGGAAAAGCCUCUAAGCUCUAGAUUAUCAUUAAUCGUACCCCAAACCGACACAGGUGGUCAGGUAGAGAAUACUCAGGCGCUUGAGAGAACUCGGGUGAAGGAACUAGGCAAAAUGGUGCCGUAACUUCGGGAGAAGGCACGCUGGCAUUAGGUGAAGUGAUUUACUCAUGGAGCUGAAGCCAGUCGCAGAUACCAGCUGGCUGCAACUGUUUAUUAAAAACACAGCACUGUGCAAACACGAAAGUGGACGUAUACGGUGUGACGCCUGCCCGGUGCUGGAAGGUUAAUUGAUGGGGUUAUCCGUAAGGAGAAGCUCUUGAUCGAAGCCCCAGUAAACGGCGGCCGUAACUAUAACGGUCCUAAGGUAGCGAAAUUCCUUGUCGGGUAAGUUCCGACCUGCACGAAUGGCGUAAUGAUGGCCAGGCUGUCUCCACCCGAGACUCAGUGAAAUUGAACUCGCUGUGAAGAUGCAGUGUACCCGCGGCAAGACGGAAAGACCCCGUGAACCUUUACUAUAGCUUGACACUGAACAUUGAGCCUUGAUGUGUAGGAUAGGUGGGAGGCUU
rnacentral:rRNA from 1 species